AUUACAGCAGAGUGACUCGUGCUGGAUGGUAGAGCCUAUGGUAGAUACCGUGGUGCUUUCCUCCUCGGGAGCCAAUUCAGGAUCGGCCGUGAGGGCGGUAAGGAAAAACUCGGUCUGUCGCAAGAGAAGACAAAUGCCAGGGAUGGGAUUGUGAUGACAAACACCCGCCGGAGGCGGUGUUGUGGCAUUAGAAUAACAGUGUAGCUCGAUCCUUUUUAGGCUGUUUGUCAGGUAUAGUUCAAGAUAGAUCCACACGUCGGCAGUAUUUAGAGGCAGAAUCACCUUUAGUGAGGGAGGCCCAGAUCGUACUCCUCUCAAAAGGAGCAUAGAAGAGGGGCAAGGGCUAUGGAUAAUAAUCUAUGGCCCUUUUCCAGGCAUCUCAGAGUCUUAGGGAGGCUGGAGAUAUUGGGCGGUCUCUCCAUUGAUAAGGAGAGUGGAGAGAAGACCAUUGCCUCGGAGCCGCUCACCUGUGCGCCGGGUUCGAGAAAAGACAUCCUGGUCGAAACCGAGGAGCAUUGAGGCCGGGCUUGAGCCAUCCAAGUUUUGUGUUUUGUCGACGGUGAAAGGUUGGGUUGGCAUGGCUGCAGUGACUUUCUGGAGCCAGUAGAUGGAGCUUGGCGACCGCCAAGGCAGCCAGAUCCAAGGCAUUUCUCCGAAGAGGAGAGGAUUGCCUUUAUAUUUGUGCCAACAACUCUUCCGGAGAGGGCGAGGGCAGCUGUGAAAAGAGCCCGCCCAGCCAAGGAAGGACAAUCAUGCGAGGAGAUGGCUUGGGAAGCCUAGCCUGGCUGUCUUUGUUUUUUCCAGCCUCUUAGCUCCUGCCGAAGUAUUCCAGCCGAAGAAGUUGACCACAGGAUGCACUGAAGAACCUUGAGAUUCUAAAAGCUGUUCUCUCAGUGUUCCUCCACUUUCCCUACAUCCUCUUCCGACUGCUGCUGAAAGU